GGUGAACCUCCCAAAGCGGUUUAAAAAAACUUGAAUAAAGAACAGAAAAUCAUGCCACAGAUUUACAUCAGAGGAAGAUGGCCCCUGGUCACUCUCUGUGGUGGCAGUUGGGAAAGGAACAUUCCCUUCCACCUCAAUAUCAGCCUCAAAGACAACACAGGAAAUAAUAUACUGCUGUUCUUGCCAUGCAUGGGACCUCAGUUGGAGUAUGGUGGGGAUUUGAAGAGUAGAGGUAAUUAUAUGACCUGGCAAAAGUCAUAUAAUGAGGAAGAAUGAGUUGGGUAUAUGCAGCAGGAACAAACAACAUUUAAAAAGUAUAUUUGAAAAGCACGAUGAGGAGACACAAUUCUUCUCCCUCUGAGGCAGCUACCAGCACCUGGGAAGAACACAUGCUCAGGCAGGAGGAAGAGGCUUUCAGGCAUGCGUCCAGGACUCAGGGGUACAGCAAGGAGGAGCACUAGCUCUGAGGAGCUGCAGCCACUGACUCUCAGAGCAACUGGUGCGGCAUUACUGUUCUCUUGACUGCCACAGCAGGGAUCCCUGGUACGAACAUUUAAGAUGCCCCCCCCCCUUGUAAACUCAAAGAACUUGGGGGGAAACUCAUUCCGGAUUCAGGUAAAUACAGUACUUCACCACCCUCAUGGAAACCUGAUAAUCCUCCUCCCUGAUCAAUCUAUGGUUUCCCACAGGCCUCAAAGGGGAUAAGAAAGUUAGCUAUCACAUAUGUUCCUCUUCAUCUCCUCUGGCUUUAAGAGAUGCUCAAGAUAGCCUUCCUCCCAGCUUUUCCUUUCUCCUGACACUAAUAGGCAGUUAUCCACAUUGUAUCUAUUUCCAUAGAUGUGAAGUAACCAGCUGAGAAAAUUUUCCAGUGUUGCUCCUUAGAAGGAACCUGGAAGUACCAUUAUGAGUCUCUGUUUCUCAUGGGGGGAACCCUGAAAUUCUGUGGGGGGUUUUACUUUGCAGAAAUUUUUGUUCCACCCAUACCUAUUUAAUAUUCCAUCCCCAUCAUACGUAACCCCUUUCUCAAGAGGUAGUCUUUUGCUUCUGAUCAUGCUAUGAUCUCCAAUUAUAGCUCAGAGUACACUUGUAAGGCCUGUAGCCUCAUGCUUUUCUCCUCCUCAGUCAGCUGCUGGGAAGACACAGCCACCUAAUUCCUCUACUUCUACUUUGUCCUUUUUGUGCCUCCCAGCACUCCCCCUCCCAUUUCUCUUACUCUCCUUCCUCAGGACAGAGCCCAUUCCUGUUUCCUAUGGUUUUGAUGUGGUGGGAAUACUCCUGACACCACACAUCAGGGGAGUAGCUACAAUUGCUAAAUGGGCAAAGAGGCACCUUUUUAAUGUGGCGAUUCUCUUUAUUUAGCAGGAGGAGAGUAACUGGCCCCCUCCACCCCCAGCACAGUCCCUCCAGUGACUUGCUGGUGUCUAUCUUAUGUUUCUUUUUAGAUUGUGAGCCCUUUGGGGACAGGGAUCCAUCUUAUUUAUUUGUUAUUUCUCUGUGUAAACCGCCCUGAGCCAUUUUUGGAAGGGCGGUAUAGAAUAAAUAAAAUAAUAAUAAUUGUAAUAAUUGAACAUGGCAAGGAGUUGUCCCUUGGCCCAGCUGGGUGACAGCUUGUCUUUUGAUCUCCCCCUCAUACCUCAGUUCACUUUUGCCCCCUUGAUAUGCCCCACUCUCCAAGUGGCUUGAAUAAAACGAAAUACAACAGCAAAUAAAAUGCACAAACACAAUUGCAACAGGAUAAUGCCAGUAUGGCAUUCCAAUGUCAGCUAAAACAAUCAACCAGGAACUUUGCCUGACCCAGUAAAAUAUCUUCUAAACAAGGAAGAGGUGUAGAGGCCUGGGAGAGCACUGGCCUGAAACAAUUCACUGAGAAAGAAUUUCUAUAGGGUGGGUGCCACCAAUGAGAAGGCCUUCAGUCUACCACAAUUCAGUUUCUGAGGGGCAUCCAGAGCCCAUCCUCUUUGUAUUCAGAGGAACAUAUGGGAGGAGAUAUUUAUUCAUGUAUUCUUCACAUAGCAUGUCAGCCUCUAGCGUACAAAUAUAGGGCAGAUAUGGAGGGUUCCGUUCAGGUGAAAUAUAUCAGAAUUUCUAGGGAAGCUGUUAUUAUUGCUUGCAAAUUAAUUAUAAUAGAUGUUUUCAUGAUUUCUCUGUCUUGUUUUUCUUACAAUAGGCACAUUCACAAGUUUACUCAAA